rnacentral:lncRNA from 1 species
CUGACGGCCGGUUUCACAAUCUGUGGUUAACCCUAGCGGUCAACUAACCUUUACCCACAGUCUAACUGACAGUUGCUGUUUCACAACCACAGAUUCAAUCAUGGUUAGUUGACCCUAAGUUUUGUUUUAUUUUUCUUAUGUUGGUAGGAAAUUAUGGACAAUGAUCACCAGAAAUAACAUUUUUAUGGAAGAAUUAUCAAAUCAGCUGAUCAGUCAGAUGAGUUUCCAUUGAUUUUUAUUAGGAUAAAUUCAAUAAAUUGUUAUAUUUCUUUAUGACUAUUAAUUUGUUGUAUAUAUUUUUUAAGGAUUUUAUAUUUAGUUGUGGAGUUUAUUUUGCAGAUUAAGGAAAAAUAAAUGUGUGUAUAUGUGUGGUUAGGAUAUUCAGUCAGACUUGUGGUUGAUUUGCAUAAUCAUAUUUUUGAUGUUGAUUCUUGCUACCUUGCUUGCUUUAAAAAUUCAUAUAUUUUAACAUACCUCCUAUGGGAUUAAUAAAAUUUCAUACAUGAUGGUUGCAUCUUAGAUUUUGGACCAUAAAAAUUACUAUGCAAAACUUUUUUGAAGUAUCUUUUUUUCGUAAAAUUAAUAUUAAAAAUGCUUCCCAUACGUGGCCAACUAAAGUACACACACUGUAUAUUACAUGCACAUUAUACAUUUUAAGUUUUGUUUAAGAAUAAUAUUUGUUUUAAGGUCUUUCGCCAAUAUUGUUAAAAUUAAAUUAAUAUAAAAACAUUUAGCAAGCAAGAGACUAUAGUAUGUAUUAAUAAUUACCCCAGGAAGCAAAUCAUUUAAAAAUCGAACAAUUAUUGGCCGCUGAAAUGCUAAACGCAUUUAAGUACAUCAUAUAAAUUCAUAUCUGUAAUUAAUAAUUUACGUGUAUACACUCUGUCCUGUCAAUAAAACGAAAUUAGGUUAGGAUAACCUCUGGUUAAGAGCUUAACCAUCACUCCAAGCUCUGGUUAAAAAUUCUGUCGGUUAACCACAACUUCGCCGUUGACCUGAUAUUGUGAAACACAUAUUUCGGGGUAACUUCUGGUUAUCUCUUAACCACAAGUUAACUUCGACUUGUGAAACCGGCCGUGAUUAGGGCAUCUGAAGGAUUAGUUUAGAAAAUAUAAAUUUCACAUAGACCACACAUUAAAAAUUGGAUUUAAAAUUUGAACAUUUGCUUUUUCUCACACCUCUGACUGAAUGUGUUUUUACAGCUCUUUGUUGACUAAGGCCCGGUCUUUUCACCUCCGAAUAAAUAUGCUCUUAUCUGGCAGUUAGCUAUCUGGAGGAUAAAUAUUUAUUCGCCAGAUAAAAUGUACCCGUCUUUUCACGUCAAUUUAUGUUCCAGUUAGUUAUCCGGUAGAUAAGCUUAAAACUUUAACUUAACCUAACAUAAUUAGAUUCGAACGAAGUAUUUCAAAGAUGAUUUUAUCGAUUUUAUUUCCAUUUUGGAAGAAGGAAUGAAGGAAAUAAGGAAAACAUUGAUUAUGCUGAAAUAGUUUACUGGAGAGCUUGAACAAGAGGUAAAUCCAUUUUAAAUUAGAGGAAAACUGUUGAUUUGUAUGUAAAAUAGAAGACAAAGACAAGUUUAAAUAAAGACAAGCUAGCUAAUGAAACAGAUGCAGUGAUAUGACAAACACCUAGAAGAUGGAAUCCUGUGUUCUCAAAGAAAAAGCUAGUUCCAGAAAUAAGCUAUUCUCCUUUUCAUGAACAUUUUUCAGUGCGUCACAAAUUAUAGAAAAAAAGGUAAGUCCGUGAUAAUACACAUUUAUGGCAUUUAUUCUAACGUGACAUUUUUGUUAAAUCUAACAGUUGUCAAAUUUUAUUUUCAAUUUGGAAUAAAACCAAAUCAAUUGUGUCUAUUGCAUUUAUAAAAUGGUAUUUUCUUUCAUUUGUAUAGUCUUAUAAAUUGUACAGAUUAUAUUGAUAAUAUUAUUAUUUUAUUUAAUUAAUAAUUCUUUUUUGGUUAUGGCGCCAUCUAUCGACAACUAGAAUAAUCACCGAACUAGAAUAAUUACCAAAGUAUUCAAAGACGUGCCUUUUUUUCUGUCACAUACAAUUUAAUGUGUUAGAGAGAAAUCGAAAAACUGUGACGCACUGAAAGAUGAUCAUGAGAAAAAGAAUACCAAUAAUAAACUAGAGAAUGUAUUACAAGAAAGAACAACGCUAAUACCCAACAUAGCUCAAUUGCUUCAGAUAGAAAAAGAGGAGGAAAGGGUAGAACACAAGCGUGCCAGAGAAAAUUAAAGGGCAGAAGAGACACAAAAAUUCAUUGAUUUAUUAAAUUUAAUAAUUAAAUUAUACAAAGGACAAUUAAAUAAAGAAUAAAAAAUUA